GUGGGCACCUGGUGUUCAGCCAGGGAUAACCCACCACAUGCUGUUAUAAGCUAAUGCUGGAGCUUUAACAAACCUUUGGAUUCAUGCAAUUAGGCACUGACUUCCACCAGGGUGCUAACUUUGUAGGUAGGUAUUUCUUAAAAGGUUUAUUUAAAUUAUGAGGUAUUUCUUGCAAGGUUUAUUUAAAUUAUUAGGUGUAACCUGAGAAGUUCACUGUGUUUCCACAGGGGUCUGGGUUGCUCGGAGUGGUCAUAAAUAACUUGGGAAAUGAGAUGAGCAGUGUCUUGUUGAUAUGAAGCCAUUCAGGAAAGAAAGGAUUAGGUAAUAAAAUGGCAGAUAUAAUUCAAUGUUGAUAAAUCUGAUGUAAUUCAGAGUAGAUAAAUGUAGACUGGUGCACAUAAUUUCAUAUAUAAAAUGAUGGGCUGACCCUUAACACUGAGGAAUGAAAUAUUGCCACAAUAGUGUCAGUUCCGUAGUGAUCAAAAAGCAGAUGAAACAUUAGGAAGUAUUAGGAAGGAAAUAGAAGACAAACCAGAACAUAAUUAUGAAACUGUAUAAAUCAAUGGUUAUCUCACAUCUUGAAUUCUGUGUGGUUCUUUCUUGUCAUUCAUCUCAAAAGAUACAAAAGAAUUGGAAAAGCCUCAAAGAGAAGCAGAGAGCGUAAUCAAAGGUAUGGAAUAGCUGCUGCACAAGGGUCAAUGAAAUAAGCUAGAGCUCGCAGCCUGGAGAAGGAACAGCUAAAAGAAAAUGGUAAAAAUCUGUAGAAUAAUGAUCAGCAUGGGUAGGGUGGAUAAGAAUAGACUUGCUGUUUUCCUCAGCUGCAAGAAUGAAGGAGCAACAACUGAAACUAGUAAGAUCCAGGUUUAGAACAAAAAAGAAGGGGCCUUUUUGUUUAACAAAUAGCAGCCCUGUGGAGUUCCUUGCCAAUGGAUGUUGUAGGUACAAGCAGGGAAACCAGAUGUGUUUGUGGAAAAGAAGUUAUAUGAGGGCUGUUAUUCCACAGAAAUUGCCUACAACUUAGGAAGUCUCUGAGCUUGGUAUCACUGAAGUAUUGGGGUGACUGUCAUCCCUGUUCUUAUUCUUCCCUGCUGGUCAUUGUUGAAGAUAAAAUGGGAUGCUGAGCUGAAUGGCCCCUUGUUCUGAUCCAGUACUGUCCUAAGAUUAGGAAUAGAUAGUAAUAAACUCACAAUACAGUUUCAGAGAUUACUCUAGUUUAUAUGAACGUUAUGUAGUUUAUAAUCUAAUGGACCAUAUAAAGCUAUUUGUUACAGGCUCUCUGUGCAGACCUCCAUCCCUGAGACCAGUCUCUGUGUUAAAAGUCAGGUCUUCACCAUCAACAAGGAAAACCAAGGAUUGUUUUUCAUGAGGGUCAACUUGGCAGUAGUAUUUGUGCUCUUCACUUAUAUUUUGCAUUUUUCCUCCUCUUAUGUUCCUCUCUAUCUCCUACAGUCUCCCCUAAAACCUUCUGGCUGUCCUGGGGCACAUCUACCUAUUUCACCAGCUUUUGGUCAUCUUUUUAACAGUUAUUCACCUCUACUCUGUAUUUGUUGUCAGUUAGUCAAACUGAGUGUAACUCAGCUGCCCUUUUGCAUGGCUAAUAAAGAUUGACAAAGCCAGUCGGUGUUCAUUGUGGUGAAGCUCUGGAAAGCUUUAAGUGCAGUAGUUGCCUUCAUGAAAAGAUAGCACAUGACUCAUUGGUCCCUGUUUUCAGUGCUUCUUGUAAGUGUUGAGAGGUUAGAAGUUAGGUAUGCAUUAAUGACACCUUUGCCAUGUCUACAUUCAGUUAAGGCUAGCUAGCUAGAGUCAGUGAACAUAAAUAAGAUCAUCCACUACCUUUAAUGUGUUUUGAAAUAAUUGGGGGAUAAAGCAUCAGCAAACUGCAGUUCCUGUAUUUCUGACAGUAAGAUUUGCGUGGGGAUUUAAUCUUGUUUUGGUUUAGAUGCAUUAACUUUACCUGCAAGCAGCCUGCCAUACCUUUUCUGAGUCCUGGUUUAGAAAAGACCUUGAAUACUUUACAGGCGUUGCUGUCUUGGUAGGCUGCGUCCUUGGUAUGAAUACUUGAAAUAUUUUUUUCUUAGUAUAAUGUGACACAUUUAACCUUAUGUGUCAGUCCUGUCUGAGAUGAGACAGGUAGAGGCUGAAGACUUUCCUUUUUGUGAGAACUUUCUCAAGAGGAAAGUAUUUGGGUAGCGCGUAUCUUUGUGGGCCAGAGUCAUUAAAACAAAGCCAAUGCUAAGAGCUGCUGCCAGUUCAACACUUGCUGUGGUUUGAAUGAGACAAAUGUAGAGUUUGUCUCAUGAACUCUUGCUUGAAAUACUUUUAUUAUUUUCAACAAAUUUCACUUUAUCUUACCUUACUUUUCAGCAAAAUGUCUGGAACUGAUGAUUUUUCGUUGGCAGAUGCUUUACCAGAUCAGUCGCCUGCUAAAACCUCCAAAGUGAGCAGUACAAAACCUGGUCAACAGCCUGGUCAGCCACCGCAGGGUUGGCCAACUUCGAAUCCUUGGAACAACCCAAGUGCUCCCCCUACGGCGCCAGCCGGACUGCCACCAAAUACGUCCGCUUCCAGCGUGCCAUUCGGACCUCCACCAACAGGAAUGUAUCCUUCAAUGCCCCCUGGACCGCCUGCUCCAUUUCCUCCUCCUCCUACUGGACCCUCUUGCCCUCCUCCUGGUGGUCCAUAUCCACCCCCAACUGUGCCAGGUCCUGUCCCACCAGGGCAAUAUCCUCCACCAAAUAUGCCCUUUCCAGAGCUUCCAAGACCUUAUGGUGGUCCAACAGAGCCAGCUGCACCUCCUGCUCCCGUUGGGCCAUGGGGAUCCAUGCCCUCUGGAGCAUGGGGACCAACAAUGGGAGGGCAGUAUCCUGCACCUAGCAUGCCAUAUCCACCCCCAGGGCCAUAUUCCGCUCCUACCCAGACUCCAGGGGCUGCACCAACAGUACCAUGGGGUACGGUCCCACCUGGAACAUGGGGACCUUCACCGCCAGGUCCAUUUCCUCCACCCACAGGAUCAUAUCCAGCUCCAGGACUAUAUCCUACGCCCCCUAAUCCUUUUCAAGUGCCAUCUGGUCCUGCUGGUGCUCCAUCAAUGCCUGGUGGUCCCCAUCCUUACCGUUGAAUACGUUCUGGGCAACAAAAUACUGUAGCUUUCCACCUUCAUCCACUACUUACAGAGAUUUUUACGGUUUUUGUUUCAGUAAUGUUUGGGGCUAUGAAGAAUACUUGCCUCUUGUACGUGCAUUUGAGGUUAUUCUAAAAUGUCAAUAAAAAGUGUUUCAAGAUUUUUGUCAAGAAAUCAAAUUUUUGAACAUGCUACAGUAAUUCAAACUAAAGAAACAGAGCAUGUGAACUUGAAGGUUUUCUCAGCAUUUUGUAUAUACUCAAAACAAUUGCUCAGUCUGGGACUACGGAAGAGAAGAUGCGCAUUCGAAAUACUUGGUCUGACUUGUCAGCACACUGUUCGUGUUCACAAACAGGCAUUUAUGUGCAAAUUAAAUAACCUGGAUGUGCAGUUAACUUUGAAUCAACAAAUGUGAGUUUUAUGCAUGCAAAUGAGGACAUCAUUUUGCCAGUUCUCAUUCUGUGGUGGUUGGAAGUUUGGCUUGGUCUAUGUAAAGAGAAACUGAUUCCCACUUAGGUAAGGUACUUCCCUAUUUCUAACCUGGGUUCUAGUCAUUUAAAAUUUGACCUUGCUGCUGGGUUGUGUAAACUUGGCAGACUUUUUCAGAGUCCCUGAAACUGAACUUGAGCUUAAAAGAUAAAAAAACCCAACCUGACAAUUCCCUUCCCAGCAGUUCUUGGCUUGGCGUUUAGUUCUGUCAGCUACAAAGAUCCUUAUUGCCACAGUUGAGAACGAGGAGGUCUCAUCGGGCCUCUGCCAAAUAUUGUAAUGGGGAGAAGUCCUCUGUUCUCAGCUCGGUGUCUGCAUACCUCACUGAGUAAGUGUAAUUUGGGAGUAAUUGAAUGUCUAGAAGCCUGUGCACUGCUGCGUAGCUGUCCCCCCUCUGAAGGGGCACUGCAGUAAGUUUUCAUAUUCCUGCCAUAUCUGUGCAAAGAGCAUGCAAGGGGUUUGCUGCAAUGCUAGUUUAGCAUUACCAAGACACACAGCCAUGUGUCAGUGAGGAGUUCUGGCACUCUUCGUGGUACUUCAUAGCCUAGACUUUGACCAUGGACAGUUUGUUUCAUCCCCAGCUGGGGAUAUCCUAACUUAGCCUCUGUAGGUAGAAUUAGGAACAAAUUUUGCUUAACAUGGUAGCUCAUUAGGGAGUCUUUGUAUCAUGGAACUGUGAAAGCAAGUUAAUUCUCUUCCAGUACCUUGUCGUGGCUUCCUGCAUGCAUGUGAUGGACUACUUAAAAAAAACAAAUGGGGUGACCUGGUGGUGAUGCUUGUUAGUAGUCUUAGCCUUUAUGGCAAAAUCCUGCAAUGUUUUUGCAGAAGAAAGCAGUCAGCUUGGCUGUGGCUGUUUUAAUCUAAUGUCAUGAAAGCUAAUAGCAAAGGUAUGUGUCUUUUUUGUUUUAGGAAGACAAUACUGGAGCUGAACAAAAAAUACUUAACAUUUCAGCUUAAAACCUAGCAUCUGUAACCCUAGAAUAGGAACCAAAAGUACAAGUCUUCACUAACCUUAAACAAGCCCCAGUUGUCCCCCAAACCAACUUGGCUUAGAUCUUGGCAAGACUCAUCAAAAACGUAAGAGAACACUGACUACAUUUGCUCAAGUGCUUUUUUGAUACCUGCAGCCUUAGAUUAUAAAUCAAUGUAAUGAAAAAACAUUUAUUCCAAAUGAAUGGAUCAUGCAGUAGCAGCACUCCAGUUUGAAAUUGCACUGGCCAUAUGUCUUUGCAGGGAAUGGGAAUAGGUAGGAAAGGAUGAAGCAAACGUAGUGAGUAAUGAUUUUUGGAAAGGGGAUUUGUAAAAGUAACUAGACUUCUAGGUUCUUCCUGAAAUAGGCAGGAUUUAUUACUGGAACAUUUAGGCUAAAAUUCAGUAUAUAUGGGAUGUUUUUCAAUGUAUAUUCGUAUUUCUUGAGGUCAUGAAAACUGUUUCAUAACCCCUUUGUUUUUGUGAGCAAAGUUCUUUGCAUAGCAGUGAAAAGGGUAUACCUGUUAAUCUAUUGUGUAAAAACUCAAGUUGUCACUAUAUACCGUGUAGUAACUUUAUCACAUGUUAUGUCAAGUGUGAGCAACUUCUGGCCUGAAGCUUUUGCAAUGGAAUUUGUACAUUUCUAUGCAUCAUUUGAGUUAAAUUGCUGAGAAGUUCGUUUUGACUUGUGCUUUGAGAUUGACAUACUGCAUUUGUUUACAAUAUGAAAUAUAAGCAAUCACAUCUUUAAAGUAUAGAUUAUCACCUGCUGCUGUAUUUUCUUUAGAUGAAACAAAUAUUGCUGUAUGAUAGUGAGAAGCUAUAAAUACAGGAUUUGAUAUUUUUUUGAAAAUGCUGUCACUUUUGUAUAAGAUUAGACAUUAAACGUAUUUUCAAGACUGUUGUGUUUACUGUUUUUCAAUUACUGCUUUUGACAUGCUUGUGUAGACUUUUGCCUUGAAUGAAUAGUAAAAAUAGGACAUCCUUGAUUUGCAAA